rnacentral:rRNA from 1 species
UGGGGAAUUUUGCACAAUGGGGGCAACCCUGAUGCAGCGACGCCGCGUGAUUUAGAAGGCCUUCGGGUUGUAAAAAUCUUUUGUAUGGGAAGAAAAUGACAGUACCAUACAAAUAAGGACCGGCUAAUUACGUGCCAGCAGCCGCGGUAAUACGUAAGGUCCGAGCGUUGUCCGGAAUCAUUGGGCGUAAAGGGUACGUAGGCGGAUAAGCAAGUUAGAAGUGAAAUCCUAUAGCUCAACUAUAGUAAGCUUUUAAAACUGCUCAUCUUGAGGUAUGGAAGGGAAAGUGGAAUUCCUAGUGUAGCGGUGAAAUGCGCAGAUAUUAGGAGGAAUACCGGUGGCGAAGGCGACUUUCUGGCCAUAAACUGACGCUGAGGUACGAAAGCGUGGGUAGCAAACAGG